rnacentral:rRNA from 1 species
GUGGGGAAUAUUGGGCAAUGGGGGCAACCCUGAUCUAGCCAUGCCGCGUGAGUGAUGAAGGCCUUAGGGUUGUAAAGCUCUUUCAGCUGGGAAGAUAAUGACGGUACCCGGAGAAGAAGCUCCGGCUAACUUCGUGCCAGCAGCCGCGGUAAUACGAAGGGGGCUAGCGUUGCUCGGAAUUACUGGGCGUAAAGGGCGCGUAGGCGGACAGCUUAGUCAGAGGUGAAAGCCCAGGGCUCAACCUUGGAAUUGCCUUUGAUACUGGCUGUCUUGAGUUUGGGAGAGGUGAGUGGAACUCCGAGUGUAGAGGUGAAAUUCGUAGAUAUUCGGAAGAACACCAGUGGCGAAGGCGACUCACUGGCCCAAUACUGACGCUGAGGCGCGAAAGCGUGGGGAGCAAACAGGAUUAGAAACCCCGGUAGUCC